AAAAAGUGAGUAUUAGUAAAUCUUAAUUGAGACUAUUUAUAACUCAUUUUCCUGCUAAAGCACGAUACUAUCCCUAAUACUUGAAGUAUCUUUUUUAUUAUCUGCGAAUUUUAUUUUAAAAAGUGAACAGAAAAUGCAUUUCAAUAACCUUAGGGUCAUAUGUGGUACAAAUGAGCUAUAAAAUAAGAUAAGAACAAAUCCCGUCAUUCCUAUUAAAAUUUGUUAAAAUAAUAUAUUGACUAAUCCACGAUAAGGUACUAAAAAGUUUAAAUAAUUUCAUUCCUAAAUUUUAGGGAUAGUAUCGUGCUUUAGCAAUAGUCUCAGUUAAGCUUUAGUAAUACUCACUUUUUAACACCAAUAUUAAUACACCUAAGAGAUAAAAUGAGGAUUUUUACCGAUGAUGAGGUUAACGAACAAGUUGAAUGUUUUAAACUUGUGUUGCAUGAAUGGAAUGUUGCAAAACAAAAGAAAAGAGAGUUGGCUUUGGCAAACUGGAAAUAGGACGAAGUUAUUGAUAUUUCAAGUUCUAAAGAUGAACAGUUGAAACUAAGGCGCAAAUUUUAUGUUUUUUCCUUCCCUAGAUUGUUUAAAUAAAGUUUGACAUUUUCUAAUGUUGUUAUUUUAAGUUGUUUUUUUUAUGAUUAUCAUUGCUAUGUCUUGAUUUUUCACCGUAAAUAACAUUGUUGUAGUUUCAGUAUAGAGCCAAUAUAACUGAAAAAAAUAAAUUGAAGAUUGUUUAAAGUAAAAUACAUUAGAGCCUUUGCAGGAAAAAUUAUAUUGUGAUGUUAUUACUAAAAUAGAAUUAUAUUGUUAUAUUGAUAAGAUGUUUAGUUUAUAUUGAGGUAUAAAUAAAUGAAGUUGGUGUAAAAGUAAGUAGGUCAUUAGAAAAUGUAAAGUAACUAAUUUUCUAGUUAAUGUCAAUUGGGAUUUGUUACCAAUCUAUAUUGCUAUUUUGGCGUCCUUUUGACCAUCCUGUCCCUGGAAGUUAUUUUAGAAAAAUGACUCAAAUAAUUUUAUAUGUUUCAAAAAGCACCAUGCAUUUCAAUGUUAAACAAACCAAAACCGAAAAAUCUUUUUUUUUUUUAUUAAAUUAAUACAUAAAUUUUGAUUAUUUAGCAGAUAAAAAGAUAAUGUAUAUCCAAAUAGAUUAUGCAUUUUCAAAACAAUAUUUUAAAUAUACAAGCACAUAUAUAUGAACUGUAUCUUAUCCAUUCAUAACAAACUUUAAACAAAUUUAUUAGAAUAUAUAUACUAUUUAUAUAUUUAUAUAGAUACGUCAUUUGCAAACGGAAUUUGUAAUUCAUAUUAACAGAGAAAACUUUCACCAGUUCCACAAUUUGCUCAUACGUAUGUUUUCCAUAUUUUUUAACUAUAUUGUUUUACUUCCUCACAUAUACAUCAUAUUCAAUAACUAUGUUUUUCUUUAUACAUGCAUAGACGAAAUUUGUUCUUCAUAACAACCAUCUAUUCUAUCGACAUCAUCAAAAUAAAACAGGUAUGUUUAUUUUCCUUAAGAUUAUCUCUUAUUUAAGUAAUAUGUAUUGGAAUACUAUGUUUUAUUACUUUAUUGAUUAUAUCAAUGAAGAACUGCAUAGUUGGUUGUAAAUGCUGUUAAGUUUAAAUACUAUUUAAUCAGAGAUUAAAAAGUAUUAUUACUCUUAUACUAUUAAUUAAUUAAUCACAUCUGAUUGACUAAGAAAUUUAAGAUUGAGUUUUUGAAACCAAGAAAUUGACACUUACUUGGAAACAUAGGUUUGUUGCAGAUAGUUUCUUGAGCUCAUUAACCAAUAGAACCCUUACAAAGCUAAUAAUUUUCCCUGAAAAAUCAUAUAUAAUAUAAAUAUCAAACAAAUUGUAUGUAAUAUAUGUCUAUGUAUGAUUGGUAACAUGAUCCUCAACAUAUUUUAUCUAUUAGGAGAAUCCAUAUUCCAAUUCCAAUAUUGAUUCAUAAAAACAAAAUAACCAUAAAAUCCAUAAAUCUAAAGAACAAUAUUUUUUUCAUUUAAACAACUUCAUAAAUUUAGUUACCUCUCCAUGUAGCUUUUUUCAUCUAAGAAAUGAAAUAUCGGACAAUCAAGAUCUGUCGGCAACCCAUGCAGUCUUGAUACAUCAUACGAACACCAAAAAUUGUUAAAAAAAAUGUCAAUAUGUCAACAUAUAUACCAAAAUCAUGUUCAAUAAAAAUAAUUACACAUAUAUAACUUAUCUCAGAACCGUUUAAGGAGCCAUCAGCAGUAAAUAAGACCUAUGUGUGAGGAAGAACCGAUUUUGAGUUAAAAAAACAUUUUCUGAUGGUUUCUCUUAAGAUUUUCCUGAAAAAAAUACAAAAAUUGAUUAGUUUAUGAAUGUGAUUUAGGCCUUUAUUUUUCAUUAUAUAUCAUCAAAACAAGGAUAAUGUAAUACGCAUUAUUUGAUGUUAACUGAGAUGAAACAAACAUAGCCCAGGGGCGGAACUAUAAAUAUUUAUUAGGUGUAGCACCAAAAAGAUUCCCGAACAAAAACAUGUAAAGGGCCUGUGGUUUUCAUUGUGCCUUUGGAGUCAGGAAGUCUACUCCCUGGCGGUCCUAAGGUUUUCAAUGAUCUGGAAAAAAUGACAUAAUAAUGCCCUUUUAUCAUACAAAUUUACAAGGUAUACCUGAUUUUAUAAAGGAACAAUAUAACAAAGUUUUUUAUUUAAGAAUUUAUAAUUCCCACAAACUCAAAUUUAGAAACUUCACUUAAAACAUGGACUUCUUGAAGCAAACAUAUUUAAACAAGAUAUGCUAUUAAACAAAAACUAAAUAUCAAAACAUAAAACCUGCAAUAAAUUUUGGAGUCAGGAAAUCUACUCCAUUCCCCGAUUAAUUUUUAAUCCUAUAACAUAUAACAAUAUUCAAUAAAACCUUGUAAAAUAAGUCCUACCUUUUUAACAAAUUCUAAAUUACAAAGGACAACAGAACCAAAGAGCAUAAAACCUUUAUGAUCCAAAGUAGGAUAGAUAUGGAAAGGCAAUAAAAUUCCAUAAGGAUUGAGUCAAUAGUCAACAGAUUAACAAAAAGAAAGAAAUGACUGAAAGGAGGAAAAGGCAUCUAUGAAGCUUCUCAACAAGCCAAUCAAAAUAAUAAACCAUAUCAUUUUGGGGUAACCUAAAAUUAGACAACAAUAUUAAUUAAAAGGAAACACACCUACAAUCAAUUAAUAGUCAACGGAUUAACCAAUUUGUUUUACCUUUUUAUGUUAAUCACCGGUAAUGGAACUGAAGAUGGAGAAACAACGAGAGUGAAGGCACUGAGGAUUGAGUAAUUAGUGGAUAAUUUAUUUCAUAUCUUCAUCUCUGUCCCAACUUUCUUCAAUUGUUAAUGCUUCGUACAUUAAAUCCUUAAACUGUACAAUCUGUGAAUGGAUAUUCAAAAUCCACAUUGAAAUCCAAAUAGAUAAAUUAAGUGAUGUUAAUGUAUAGAACUAAAAAGUUCAAAAUUAGGGAUUUGAUACAUACGUUCUAUUAAGAAUUUAUUGCAUCAGAAGCGUGAAUGUUAGUAUUUCUAGGGUUUGUCGAUCUAUGAAAUUAAACCAAUUGAACCCUAACCACUUUCGAAUACGGAUGCAAUUAUGAAUAAACAAGAACUUCCUGCUAAUCUCUCCUUCAAAUUUCUGAAAAUUAUACAAUAAAUCUUUGGGUUAGGGGUUUUCUGUUAGGUAUAUGGUAGAGAUAUGGAUAUAGAGGAUGAAAAUUUAACUAAAAGAAAGAUUCAAAGCCUGUAAAUUAAGAAGCAGACGCGUUUCAGCAACAAGAGAAGCAGCAACCAAUAAGAACCGACACAACCUCAACAUAACCCUGUUGGGUUUCUCCAAUCGUCGUGUAGAUCUAGAUGAGGGAUAGGGGUUGAAGAUCAGAAGGAUUCGGUGGUCGUGGUGGUCGCUAAUGGUUUCUAUUGAUGAAGGUUGUACGCGUGGAUGCUGCGUUUGGAUGUUAAACGGAUCAUCUAAGGACGACAUAUCUCUUCUUAAGUUUGUAGGAGGUUAUCAAUUAUGAGAAAGAGUAUAUGCGUUUGUAAGAGAAAGAGUGGUAGAUGAGUGUCGGCUUCUUUAGGGUUAGACAAAGAAAGGAGAGUGUCAGCAUCUUUAGGGUUACACAAAGGAAGGAGAGUGUUGUUAGAAAAAGGAAGUCAUAACUUUAUUUUCCUAAAAAUAAAAAUCUAUUUACCAGAUUAAAUGUAUGAAUGUAUUUAUUCUGAAGAAUGUUUAAAAUAUAUAUUGGAUUGAUUUUAUUUGGUUUUUAAAUACCGAUCCAACUUUUCCAUAACUCAUUUGUAUUUUCANAUAUAUAUAUGAUAAAACAUGUAAACAUUUAAAUUUUUAUUAUUUUCAAUAAGUUGAUGAUUUAUUUUGUUAAACAAAAUACAAGAAAUUGUUAUGUGAAAUAUAACUUUAAUUGAAAAAUAUUUCAGUGAUGGAUGAUCAUAUUACUGUUAAAAAUUUUUGACAUUGCGAAGCGUUUACAUAUGGUGGAACAUAUUAGCUGUUCGGGUUUUAUAUGUGUGGGACGACGUUGAAAAUAAUCGAGUCCUGAUUUGGUUGAUUGAUCGUAACGUAAGUAUGAAUACAAUAAAAUAAAUAUGACAUUUUUUUGGCUAAUUUUCAUUUUAUUAUUUACAUAAUUGGUAAUAUAUUACAUAUCCAGAGAGACAAAAUGAUCGCCAUCGUCCCACAAUGUUUGAGGCAAACAGUUUUGAACAUGAAUUUGGUUGGACGUGUAUUGUCCUUAAAUCAUUUCCAAGUUGAGCAGUUUUACGAAGAUCACCCCACGUAUUAAAGUUACAGAAUUUUUUUUGGUGAUUGGGCAAUAUUAAUAAAAAUUAACACAAUAUUUACUCGAUUGGGAAAUGAUGUCGCCAAUUCAUUUCCACAUUAUCCAUUAUGUUCUUCUAUCACAAGCCUCGCAAGAGAUUUUAGUCGUCGAAGAAUGAUCAUCGGUACAUUUAUAUAUUUAAUUAUAUAUAUUUUGUUUUUAUCAAUUGCAUACAACAAAUUAAAAUUAUAGUAAUUUUAAUAUGCUUUAGAUGUUAUUGGAAAAAUCGUUUGGGGAAGACGAAUCACGUCAUUCUAUGCAUUUGAAUUAUUUCUCCAAAAUGAGAUGUAAGUAUAUUUAAAUAUAUUAACCAAUUUUCAUUGUUAUUAUGUGUUUUAACAAAAUUUUGUUUAAAUGAAUAGGGGACAUAUUAUCAAGUUGAUAUUCAAUCACGUACCGAUGAGCUUUAUGAUACCACUGUAUCUUGCAAUAUUCAAUCAAUCCAUAAUUUAUGUCUCUAGGGUCAAGUUGGUCCACUUAAAUUUGUGUAAGUUAACCAUGGGCAACAUUAUAUAUAGUUUCAUUCUUUACAUGUUAUUUAUUUUAAUAUACCUUACUAACUAUAUAUUACAUGUCCAUACAGACAAUAUUUUGGUUUCUACUAUAUUAACUGAUGUCACGUUGCAUCCAAGGACACCGGAAGCUGAGCGAAUUAGGAUUCGAGAUAGAGAGAAUAAUUAAUUUUUCUAUAGUUAUUUGUUAGCGGAUCAUGUAGUAGUUAUUUGUUUGCGGAUUAUGUGGUAGUUAUACGUUUGCUGAUUUUUAGAAGGUUGUUUGCUUGCGUACUUUUUAUAUUUAUUUUUUGCUGAAUUUGUGACAUGGAUUUUUAGUAUUUUAUAAUGAUUUAAAACUUUUAAGUUUAUAAAUUUUAGUUUCUUUGUCUGACUAUUUUGUUUAUGUUAUUUAGUUUUCUUCUUUCUGUUUAUUAGAUAUUUAUACAUUUGUAUAAUAAGUAAAACAAAUAAUCUACCAAAUAAAAUUUACAAUAUCAUUUAAAUAUAAAUCAAUCAAUAUGCAUUCUUUCAAUUAUUGAAAAAAACUAUUAAAACAUGAAAGAAAUAUUUACCGAAAAAAACUAAUGAAACUUGAAAUAAAUAUAUAUUAACAAAAAACACAAAUUGUUAAAACAUUACUUCAAGUAUUAAAAAAAGCAGUAUAAUUUAAUGUAAGUAUCAAUCUCACAUAUAAAUAAUUAGUUCAACUCAAUCGGUAUUCAAUUAAUACGGUUAUAAGUAUUGUAUAUAAAAAUUAUUUUUUAUUACAAUGUGUUAUAAAAAAAUAAAAUUAUAUAUUAUUAAUUUCAUGUUUUUACAGUUGGCAUGAUGAUUGUAGAUAAAGAAAAUAGGCCUAAUGAGGCUAUCCAACUUGAUGUAAAUACACAAAAGGGUAUGUUUCAUAUGCGCAACAUGAUUAAUACGUUAUCUUUAUGCAUAAUUCAUCCAAAAAAAUUAUUGCAGAAAAAAGAAAAUUAUAUAAUAAGACAUAUUAUGAACGACUAAAGGAGAAGAAGAAAAUGAGACAAACAGCUAAUGGAGAAGUAAGUAGUCAAAACAUGACACCUAUGACAAAUGUGUCUACAACACAGAGGACCCUGGCUGAUAUUACUAAUGUAACUCCUACAAGUGUAUUGGAUUUUGCUCAAAGGAAAUCGAUUAAGAACAGAAAUGCAUAUCAACGACGCAAGGAACGAAACUCACCGACAACACCUAUUGAAAUUAGUCAUCAGGAUCCAUAUAGCUUUGUUUAUAAUGGUAUCCCUAAAGAACAUCGUGUUUUGAAGGUACAACAACCAUGUGUUCAUUGUGGAGCAAAACGAUUUCAGUUUGAAUUCCCUACCUUUUGUUGCAUGGAUGGUAAGACAAAGUUAUCACAUUCCUCUAUUCCUGAAGAAUUACUCAACCUCUUCACAUCCAGAAACGAAUUAGGUAGGACAUUUAGACAAAUGAUACGUUGCUACAACAGCAACUUUUCUUUCGCAUCAAUUGGCGUUAAUUAUGACAAAACAUUGACAAAUAUGACAUCUGGAGUAUACACCUUUUGUGUGAAUGGAGGAAUAUAUCAUAGAAUCGAUUAGUUGACUCCAAGAGAUGGAAUACCUCGGUACUUACAAUUGUAUUUUUACGAC
rnacentral:lncRNA from 1 species